rnacentral:rRNA from 1 species
GAGAGAGCACGUGCUGGGCAGCCACGCGCCACGGGGUAAGAGCUGAACGCAUCUAAGCUCGAAACCCACUUGAAAAAGAGAUACCAUCCGAGAUCACUCGUAGAAGACGAGUUCGAUAGACUCGGGGUGUACGCACCAAGGCAACGAGGUGUUGAGCCCGCGAGCACUAAUCGAUCGAGCC